rnacentral:rRNA from 1 species
GGUUAAGUGACUAAGCGUACACGGUGGAUGCCUUGGCAGUUGGAGGCGAUGAAGGACGUACUAACUUGCGAUAAGCCUAGUCAAGCCAGUAAGAGGCGCUUGAGACUAGGAUUUCCGAAUGGGGAAACCCACCUGCUUGCAGGUAUCGUUAACUGAAUACAUAGGUUAACGAGGCGAACGCGGAGAACUGAAACAUCUAAGUACCCGUAGGAAAAGAAAUCAACCGAGAUUCCGAAAGUAGCGGCGAGCGAAAUCGGACCAGCCCUUAAGCUUUAGUGUAGUUAGUGGAACAUGCUGGAAAGCAUGACGAAACAGGGUGAUAGUCCCGUACACAAAAACUUAUCUAAAGUGAAAUCGAGUAGGUCGGAGCACGUGAAACUUUGACUGAAUAUGGGGGGACCAUCCUCCAAGGCUAAAUACUCCCAACUGACCGAUAGUGAACCAGUACCGUGAGGGAAAGGCGAAAAGAACCCCUGUGAGGGGAGUGAAAUAGAACCUGAAACCGUGUACGUACAAGCAGUAGGAGCCUACUUGUUGGGUGACUGCGUACCUUUUGUAUAAUGGGUCAGCGACUUAUAUUCUGUAGCGAGGUUAACCAUUUAGGGGAGCCGUAGCGAAAGCGAGUCUUAACUGGGCGCUUAAGUUGCAGGGUAUAGACCCGAAACCCGGUGAUCUAGCCAUGGGCAGGUUGAAGGUUGAGUAACAUCAACUGGAGGACCGAACCCACUAACGUUGAAAAGUUAGGGGAUGACCUGUGGCUAGGAGUGAAAGGCUAAUCAAACCGGGAGAUAGCUGGUUCUCCCCGAAAUCUAUUUAGGUAGAGCCUCGGACGAAUACUUACGGGGGUAGAGCACUGUUAAGGCUAGGGGGUCAUCCCGACUUACCAACCCUUUGCAAACUCCGAAUACCGUAAAGUAAUAUCCGGGAGACACACGGCGGGUGCUAACGUCCGUCGUGGAGAGGGAAACAACCCAGACCGUCAGCUAAGGUCCCAAAGUGUAUGUUAAGUGGGAAACGAUGUGGGAAGGCUAAAACAGCUAGGAGGUUGGCUUAGAAGCAGCCACCCUUUAAAGAAAGCGUAAUAGCUCACUAGUCGAGUCGGCCUGCGCGGAAGAUGUAACGGGGCUAAACAUACCACCGAAGCUACGGCUGCGUACGUAAGUAUGCGGGGUAGGGGAGCGUUCUGUAAGUGGCUGAAGGUGUGCCGGGAGGCAUGCUGGACAUAUCAGAAGUGCGAAUGCUGACAUGAGUAACGACAAGAGGAGUGAAAAACUCCUCCGCCGGAAGACCAAGGGUUCCUAUCCCAUGUUAAUCAGGGUAGGGUGAGUCGACCCCUAAGGCGAGGCUGAAGAGCGUAGUCGAUGGGAAACGGGUUAAUAUUCCCGUACUCGGUAUGAAUGCGAUGGGGGGACGGAGCAGGCUAGGCAAGCAUGGCGUUGGUUGUCCAUGUGAAAGGCUGUAGGCUGGUGACUUAGGAAAAUCCGGGUUGCUAAGGCUGAGAGUCGAGACGAGCCACUAAGGUGGUGAAGUUGUUGAUGCCCUACUUCCAGGAAAAGCCUCUAAGCUUCAGUUCAUACUGAAUCGUACCCUAAACCGACACAGGUGGUCAGGUAGAGAAUACUAAGGCGCUUGAGAGAACUCGGGUGAAGGAACUAGGCAAAAUUGUACCGUAACUUCGGGAGAAGGUACGCUCUUGUUUGUGAAGGACUUGCUCUGUAAGCAAACGAGAGCCGCAGUGACCAGGUGGCUGGGACUGUUUAUUAAAAACACAGCACUGUGCAAAAUCGUAAGAUGACGUAUACGGUGUGACACCUGCCCGGUGCCGGAAGGUUAAUUGAUGGGGUUAGCUUAGGCGAAGCUCUUGAUCGAAGCCCCGGUAAACGGCGGCCGUAACUAUAACGGUCCUAAGGUAGCGAAAUUCCUUGUCGGGUAAGUUCCGACCUGCACGAAUGGUGUAACCAUGGCCACGCUGUCUCCACCCGAGACUCAGUGAAAUUGAAAUCGCAGUGAAGAUGCUGUGUACCCGCGGCUAGACGGAAAGACCCCGUGAACCUUUACUACAGCUUGGCACUGAACAUUGACCCUACAUGUGUAGGAUAGGUGGGAGGCUUUGAAGCAGAGACGCUAGUUUCUGUGGAGCCGACCUUGAAAUACCACCCUUGUAGUGUUGAUGUUCUAACUUAGGCCCCUGAAUCGGGGUUGAGGACAGUGCCUGGUGGGUAGUUUGACUGGGGCGGUCUCCUCCCAAAGAGUAACGGAGGAGCACGAAGGUUUGCUAAGUACGGUCGGACAUCGUACGGUUAGUGUAAUGGUAGAAGCAAGCUUAACUGCGAGACAGACACGUCGAGCAGGUACGAAAGUAGGUCAUAGUGAUCCGGUGGUUCUGAAUGGAAGGGCCAUCGCUCAACGGAUAAAAGGUACUCCGGGGAUAACAGGCUGAUACCGCCCAAGAGUUCAUAUCGACGGCGGUGUUUGGCACCUCGAUGUCGGCUCAUCACAUCCUGGGGCUGAAGUCGGUCCCAAGGGUAUGGCUGUUCGCCAUUUAAAGUGGUACGCGAGCUGGGUUUAGAACGUCGUGAGACAGUUCGGUCCCUAUCUGCCGUGGGCGUUUGAGAAUUGAGAGGGGCUGCUCCUAGUACGAGAGGACCGGAGUGGACGAACCGCUGGUGUUCGGGUUGUGAUGCCAAUUGCAUUGCCCGGUAGCUACGUUCGGAACUGAUAACCGCUGAAAGCAUCUAAGCGGGAAGCAGGCCUCGAGAUGAGUUCUCACUUUGACUUAGAGUCAACUGAAGGGCCGUUGAAGACUACAACGUUGAUAGGCGAGAUGUGGAAGUGCUGUGAGGCAUUAAGCUAACUCGUACUAAUUACCCGUGAGGCUUAACCAU